rnacentral:rRNA from 1 species
CAUUAUACCGUGAAACUGCGAAUGGCUCAUUAAAUCAGUUAUCGUUUAUUUGAUAGUACCUUACUACUUGGAUAACCGUGGUAAUUCUAGAGCUAAUACAUGCUGAAAACCCCAACUUCGGGAGGGGUGUAUAUAUUAGAUAAAAAACCAACGCCCUUCGGGGCUUCUUGGUGAUUCAUGAUAUCUUUACGGAUCGCAUGGCCUUGCGCCGGCGACGGUUCAUUCAAAUUUCUGCCCUAUCAACUUUCGAUGGUAAGGUAUUGGCUUACCAUGGUUUCAACGGGUAACGGGGAAUUAGGGUUCGAUUCCGGAGAGGGAGCCUGAGAAACGGCUACCACAUCCAAGGAAGGCAGCAGGCGCGCAAAUUACCCAAUCCCGACACGGGGAGGUAGUGACAAUAAAUACUGAUACAGGGCUCUUUUGGGUCUUGUAAUUGGAAUGAGUACAAUUUAAACCUCUUAACGAGGAACAAUUGGAGGGCAAGUCUGGUGCCAGCAGCCGCGGUAAUUCCAGCUCCAAUAGCGUAUAUUAAAGUUGUUGCAGUUAAAAAGCUCGUAGUUGAACCUUGGGUCUGGCUGGCAGGUCCGCCUCACCGCGUGUACUUGUCCGGCCGGGCCUUCCUUCUGGAGAACCUCAUGCCCUUCACUGGGCGUGUUGGGGACCAGGACUUUUACUUUGAAAAAAUUAGAGUGUUCAAAGCAGGCCUUUGCUCGAAUACGUUAGCAUGGAAUAAUAGAAUAGGACGUGCGGUCCUAUUUUGUUGGUUUCUAGGACCGCCGUAAUGAUUAAUAGGGACAGUCGGGGGCAUCAGUAUUCAAUUGUCAGAGGUGAAAUUCUUGGAUUUAUUGAAGACUAACUACUGCGAAAGCAUUUGCCAAGGAUGUUUUCAUUAAUCAGUGAACGAAAGUUAGGGGAUCGAAGACGAUCAGAUACCGUCGUAGUCUUAACCGUAAACUAUGCCGACUAGGGAUCGGGCGAUGUUCUUUUUCUGACUCGCUCGGCACCUUACGAGAAAUCAAAGUUUUU